GAUGAACGCUGGCGGCGUGCUUAACACAUGCAAGUCGAACGAUGAAGCCCAGCUUGCUGGGUGGUUUAGUGGCGAACGGGUGAGUAACACGUGAGUAACUUGCCCUUAACUCUGGGAUAAGCAUGGGCAACUGGGUCUAAUACCGGCUAGGAACGUUCACCGCAUGGUGGGUGUUGGAAAGAUUUAUCGGUUUUGGAUGGACUCGCGGCCUAUCAGCUUGUUGGUGAGGGAAUGGCACACCAAGGCGACGACGGGUAGCCGGCCUGAGAGGGUGACCGGCCACACUGGGACUGAGACACGGCCCAGACUCCUACGGGAGGCAGCAGUGGGGAAUAUUGCACAAUGGGGGCAAGCCUGAUGCAGCGACGCCGCGUGAGGGAUGACGGCCUUCUGGUUGUAAACCUCUUUCAGUAGGGAAGAAGCGAAAGUGACGGUACCUGCAGAAGAAGCACCGGCUAACUACGUG
rnacentral:rRNA from 1 species